UCCGGUUGAUCCUGCCGGACCCCACUGCUAUCGGGAUAGGACUAAGACAUGCUAGUCAAGCGCUCGCCAGCCAAAGGCAAGUGCGGCGUACAGCUCAGUAACACGUGGCUAACCUGCCCUUGGGACAAGGACACCCCCGGGAAACUGGGGCUAAUCUUUGAUAGGUGAAGAACUCUGGAAUGAAUCUUCGCCCAAAAGAAGCUUACGCCAUGCUCGUAGGCUCCGCCCAAGGAUGGGGCCGCGACCGAUCAGGUAGUUGGUGAGGCAACGGCUCACCAAGCCUUUUACCGGUGCGGGCCGUGAGAGCGGGAGCCCGGAGAUGGGCACUGAGACAAGGGCCCAGGCCCUACGGGGCGCAGCAGUCGCGAAAACUUUGCAAUACACGAAAGUGUGACAGGGCUAUCCCGAGUGCCAUCCGCUGAGGAAGGCUUUUACCCAGUGUAGAAAGCUGGGGGAAUAAGGAGAGGGCAAGACUGGUGUCAGCCGCCGCGGUAACACC
rnacentral:rRNA from 1 species